AAUAAGUCUGGGUUCUGAAUACAAAGCAAUGUUCACAAUCCCCUUUUCUAACAACUCCUGUACAAGUCUCUCCAUCACAGCCUUCCCUAAUCCAAUCCCCUGAUACGAAGGAUCCACCACCAUGUCCCAGAUGAUGGCAUUGAAAACAUUGUCCCCUGUGGCUCUACCCAGAGGAGCGAGUUCGUGUCCUCCAAUGCCAGUUUGAUCUUCUCCGGGUCAUGCUUCGGGAACCCGACUAUUGAGGUGUUCGAGAUUAAGGUUUUAUUGCUUGGUGUUAUAUUUUUCGUAUGCAGUUUCCAAUAUAUAAUCAUUUUAUUUAUUUGGUUUCCUAGCUUUUCUCUCCUUCAUGUGAUUGGGUGGUGUUGGUGAAAUGAUCAAUCUUAUACUGUAACUUUGUCCUUGAUGUAAUUAUCAUAUUUUUGCAGGUUUUUCAUGGUCAGCCAAUGCCCACAACUGUGGCUGCGGCCCCUCAUCCACCCACAGUGCGCCCCAGGGUCCGGGCUAGAAGAGGACAGGCCACAGAUCCACACAGCAUUGCUGAGCGGUUGUGUAGAGAAAGAAUAGCCGAAAGAAUAAGGGCAUUGCAGGAGUUGGUUCCCAGUGUAAACAAGAUUAUGGCUUUAUCCUUGAUUUGAAGAGAUAUUGUUAUGGGACCAGAAUAUUCAUGAAUGAAUAUGGAGUGAAAUGGUCCAGAUCUUCUUGCUAGCAUGGGUAUUUACUGAAAAAAUAUGGCCAGACAUGCCUUGGUUCACUUUUGUGACAUUGUAAUCUAUAUUUGUUGUGAUAUAUUUAUCGCUCAAUACUGUAGUUUGUAGGUUGGAGUCUAUAUUGGAUUUCUUAGUGUUUCAAUUGCAUUGUGAGUGUAUACUUUUCUUUACAUAUAUUAAAUUUAUGAACUUCAUAAUAUAACGAAGAU